UUGCGCAUCAUAUCAAAAUAUUUCUAGGCGAAUAUUCUCUAUUCGAAUCUGUGUUCGAUUGGGGGAGUUCCUGUUUGAGUUUUGAACGUAUGCUAUUAUUUAUGGUACGCGGAGGGUGGGUGAAAAGUUAAAAAUAGUUUUAAAACACAGCUUAAACGAUUCCACAAUAAUUCAAAAAAAAAUUUAAAAAUAACAGGAAACAAAUUCGCAUCGAAUCGUCUCAGAAAAUUGCCAGU